UACGAAGGGGGCUAGCGUUGCUCGGAAUCACUGGGCGUAAAGGGUGCGUAGGCGGCGCGGUAAGUCGGAUGUGAAAUCUCGGAGCUUAACUUCGAAACUGCAUUCGAUACUGCCGUGCUUGAGGACUGGAGAGGAGACUGGAAUUUACGGUGUAGCGGUGAAAUGCGUAGAUAUCGUAAGGAAGACCAGUGGCGAAGGCGGGUCUCUGGACAGUUCCUGACGCUGAGGCACGAAGGUCAGGGGAGCAAACGGG
rnacentral:rRNA from 1 species